rnacentral:tRNA from 1 species
GGGGAAGGGAAACCAACAAGAACUGCUAACUCUUGAAUCUGAGCUUAAAACCUCAGUCCCCUUA